CCGGCACUGGACGGCCGCGCGCGCGCACGCGCUCUCACCUGUGGAUGUUCAUCUCCCGCGGAGGGCGGUGGGCCUUGUCAUAGGAGACCUUGGCAAAAACACCGGCCACGAUGACGAAGGCGAUGACCCCGCAGCUAGAAGCAUUUUAACUGAUGACCGCUGACCUCAUAGUUGAUCAACAUGACUCGAGUCUUACGUUGGAAGAAGUGGUUUUGGCCUCCUCUGAAUAACCUCACACGUGGCAGUGGACAGACAUCCAUUCUGACAUCAUGAGCCUUGAAGAAGACACUGAAUAACCCCAUCUGCA